UACAGAGGUCUCAAGCGUUGUUCGGAUUCAUUGGGCGUAAAGCGUCCGCAGGUGGCUAUGUAAGUCUGCUGUUAAAGAGUGAGGCUCAACCUCAUAAGAGCAGUGGAAACUACAUAGCUAGAGUGCGUUCGGGGCAGAGGGAAUUCCUGGUGUAGCGGUGAAAUGCGUAGAGAUCAGGAAGAACACCGGUGGCGAAGGCGCUCUGCUAGGCCGUAACUGACACUGAGGGACGAAAGCUAGGGGAGCGAAUGGG
rnacentral:rRNA from 1 species